rnacentral:rRNA from 1 species
CACCAGGUUGAUUCUGCCUGACGUAGAUGCUAGUCUCUAAGAUUAAGCCAUGCAUGUUUAUGUAAUAAAGGACGAAUAGCUCAGUAAAACUGCGAUGAUUUAGUCUGUGUGUUUAAGAUAACUACGUGAAAAUGUAGCUAAGAGAAUACAGAAUAAGACGUAGUACUAUCAGUUAGUUGGUAGUGUAAUGGACUACCAAGACUAUGACGGUUAACGGGGAAUUAGGGUUUUAUACCGGAGAGGGAGCCUGAGAGAUUGCUCCCACGUCCAAGGACGGCAGCAGGCGCGAAAAUUGCCCACUGUUUGUAGGAGGCAGUUAUGAGACGUGAAGAUGAAUAUUUGGUAAAAAGAAAUAGGAGAAUUGGAGGGCAAGUUUGGUGCCAGCAGCCGCGG